rnacentral:rRNA from 1 species
GACGAACGCUGGCGGUGUGCUUAACACAUGCAAGUGGUGCGACGAACCAGAGCUUGCUCUGGGGCAAAGCCGCGAACGGGUGAGUAACACGUGGGUAAUCUACCCCGAUGACCGGGACAACCCGAGGAAACUCGGGCUAAUACCGGAUGUGGUGCGGAGACAUAAGUUUCUUCACUAAAGGUAGCUUCGGCUUCCGCAUUGGGAGGGGCCCGCGGCCCAUUAGCUUGUUGGUGGGGUCAAGGCCUACCAAGGCAACGAUGGGUAGCUGGUCUGAGAGGACGAUCAGCCACACUGGGACUGAGACACGGCCCAGACUCCUACGGGAGGCAGCAGUGGGGAAUCUUGCGCAAUGCGCGAAAGCGUGACGCAGCAACACCGCGUGAGGGAAGAAGGCCUUAGGGUUGUAAACCUCUUUCAGAUGGGACGAAGGUUCUCCGGUGAAUAGCCGAGAGGAUUGACGGUACCGUCAGAAGAAGCUCCGGCUAACUACGUG